rnacentral:rRNA from 1 species
ACAAGAAAUAAUCUGUCUUAGAUUAAUAUAUUGAAUUUAACUUUUAAGUGAAAAGGCUUAAAUAAUCUGAAGGGACGAUAAGACCCUAUAAAACUUUAUAUUGAAAAGUGAUGGGUAUGAUUUGUUUAAAAGGUUAUUACUUUAAAGUAUUUGGUUGGGGUGACAAGAAUAUAAUAGAAAGUAACUGUUUUUUUUUUUUACAAUGAUGUUUGAGUUAAUGAUCCUAGAAUGGAUUAAAGAUUAAGUUACUUUAGGGAUAACAGCGUAAUUUUCUUUAAGAGUUCUUAUCGAUAAGAGAGUUUGCGACCUCGAUGUUGAAUUAAAGGUUCUUUAUGGAGUAGAGAC